rnacentral:rRNA from 1 species
GUGCCAGCCGCCGCGGUAAUACGUAGGGAGCAAGCGUUGUCCGGAAUCAUUGGGCGUAAAGCGCGCGUAGGCGGCUCGAUCAGUCUGUUGUGAAAGUCAAAGGCUCAACCUUUGAAUGCCGAUGGAUACUGUCGAGCUAGAGUCCGGAAGAGGCGGGUGGAAUUCCUGGUGUAGCGGUGGAAUGCGCAGAUAUCAGGAGGAACACCAACGGCGAAGGCAGCCCGCUGGGACGGUACUGACGCUAAGGCGCGAAAGCGUGGGGAGCGAACAGGAUUAGAUACCCCUGUAGUCC